rnacentral:rRNA from 1 species
UACGGAGGGUGCAAGCGUUAAUCGGAAUUACUGGGCGUAAAGCGCACGUAGGUGGUUUGCUAAGCCAGCUGUGAAAUCCCCAGGCUCAACCUGGGAACUGCGUCCGAUACUGGCAGGCUUGAAUCCGGGAGAGGGAUGUGGAAUUCCAGGUGUAGCGGUGAAAUGCGUAGAUAUCUGGAGGAACACCGGUGGCGAAGGCGGCAUCCUGGACCGGUAUUGACGCUGAGGCGCGAAAGCUAGGGGAGCAAACGGG